GGAGAGAUGGCCGAGUGGUCGAAGGCGCACGACUGGAAAUCGUGUGUACCCCCAAAAGGGGUACCGUGGGUUCAAAUCCCACUCUCUCCG
rnacentral:tRNA from 2 species